rnacentral:ncRNA from 2 species
GACGGGCUCUCCUAUUGUGCUGCCUGACAUAGCCUCCGGUCAAAGGGAAGAGGGUGCAAAUCCCUCGCGGUCCCGCCGCUGUAAAUGGGGACGAAACCUGCGGUUGCCACUGGCGCAAGGUCUGUUACCUGCCGCUGUUGAAGGAGGAGGCAGCGAUGACGGAAACGGCGCCGGGAAGGUGCGGGGACUAGGGUGAACCAUGAGCCAGAAGACCUGGCUGGAGGAGUGACCGAUG